UCUACGGGUGGCAGCAGUGGGGAAUAUUGCGCAAUGGGCGAAAGCCUGACGCAGCGACGCCGCGUGAGGGAUGAAGGUCUUCGGAUCGUAAACUUCUGUCAGCAGGGAAGAACGGUCACUGUGCUAAUCAGCAGUGAAUUGACGGUACCUGCAAAGGAAGCACCGGCUAACUCCGUGCCAGCAGCCGCGGUAAUACGGAGGGUGCGAGCGUUAAUCGGAAUUACGGGGCGUAAAGCGCUCGUAGGCGGUAUGUCAAGUCAAGUGUGAAAUCCCCGGGCUCAACGUGGGAACUGCUUUUGAUACUGGCAGACUGGAGUGUGUGAGAGGAUGGUGGAAUUCCAGGUGUAGGAGUGAAAUGCGUAGAGAUCUGGAGGAACAUCAGUGGCGAAGGCGACUAUCUGGCACAUAACUGACGCUGAGGAGCGAAAGCGUGGGUAGCAAACAGGAUUAGAUACCCGUGUAGUC
rnacentral:rRNA from 1 species